rnacentral:lncRNA from 1 species
AACACUCUAAAUCACUAGUCACCUUUUACAUACUCGACCUCUUACCAGAUAGCCAGUAGAAUUCUUUGUAGGAGCUUUGUCAACACCACACGACUGCUAGCAUGUUCACAAGAGAUAACCUGCAUGUGGAAAUUCCAUCCCAACGAUGGUGCACUAGGUAAAUUCACUACAAAAUCAGUAAACUAUCUUGAGCCCAUGCUCAUCCACCAGUUGUACAAGUCCGUUCACUCCCC